rnacentral:rRNA from 1 species
AACGAACGCUGGCGGCAGGCCUAACACAUGCAAGUCGAACGCGAACAGGACUUCGGUCCUUAGUAGAGUGGCGCACGGGUGAGUAACGCGUGGGAAUGUACCCUUGGGUGCGGAAUAACCAUUGGAAACGAUGGAUAAUACAGCAUAAUGACUCCGGUCCAAAGAUUUAUCGCCCAAGGAUCAGCCCGCGUUAGAUUAGCUAGUUGGUGAGGUAAUGGCUCACCAAGGCGACGAUCUAUAGCUGGUCUGAGAGGAUGAUCAGCCACACUGGAACUGAGACACGGUCCAGACUCCUACGGGAGGCAGCAGUGAGGAAUAUUGGACAAUGGGCGCAAGCCUGAUCCAGCCAUGCCGCGUGAGUGAUGAAGGCCCUAGGGUUGUAAAGCUCUUUUACCCGGGACGAUAAUGACGGUACCGGGAGAAUAAGCUCCGGCUAACUUCGUGCCAGCAGCCGCCGUAA